rnacentral:rRNA from 1 species
CUACGGGACGCUGCAGUGAGGAAUUUUGCGCAAUGGGGGGAACCCUGACGCAGCAACGCCGUGUGAGUGAAGAAGGCCUUUGGGUCGUAAAGCUCUGUCAACUGGGAAGAAGUUACUGUGCUUUAAUAGAGUGCAGUAUUGACGGUACCAGUGGAGGAAGCGUCGGCUAACUCCGUGCCAGCAGCCGCGGUAACACGGGGGACGCAAGCGUUAUUCGGAAUUAUUGGGCGUAAAGGGCGCGUAGGCGGUCUUGUCGGUCAGGUGUGAAAGCCCGGGGCUCAACCCCGGACGUGCACUUGAAACAGAAAGACUUGAGUACGAGAGAGGAAAGCGGAAUUCCUGGUGUAGAGGUGAAAUUCGUAGAUAUCAGGAGGAACACCGAUGGCGAAGGCAGCUUUCUGGACCGAAACUGACGCUGAGGCGCGAAGGCGUGGGUAGCGAACGGGAUUAGAUACCCCGGUAGUC